UACGUAGGGGGCAAGCGUUGUCCGGAAUCAUUGGGCGUAAAGAGCGCGUCGGCGGCCCGAUAAGUCCGCUGUGAAAGUCAAGGGCUCAACCCUUGAAUGCCGGUGGAUACUGUCGGGCUAGAGUCCGGAAGAGGCGAGUGGAAUUCCUGGUGUAGCGGUGGAAUGCGCAGAUAUCAGGAGGAACACCAAUAGCGAAGGCAGCUCGCUGGGACGUUACUGACACUGAGGCGCGAAAGCGUGGGGAGCGAACAGG
rnacentral:rRNA from 1 species